rnacentral:tRNA from 1 species
UGAAUCCGUAGCUCAGAUGGAAGAGCUUCCGUUUACGAAGCGGAAGGUCGCAGGUUCAACUCCUGCCGGGUUCAGCC